GAUGAACGCUGGCGGCGUGCCUAAUACAUGCAAGUCGAGCGAAUGGAUUAAGAGCUUGCUCUUAUGAAGUUAGCGGCGGACGGGUGAGUAACACGUGGGUAACCUGCCCAUAAGACUGGGAUAACUCCGGGAAACCGGGGCUAAUACCGGAUAACAUUUUGAACCGCAUGGUUCGAAAUUGAAAGGCGGCUUCGGCUGUCACCUAUGGAUGGACCCGCGUCGCAUUAGCUAGUUGGCGAGGUAACGGCUCACCGAGGCAACGAUGCGUAGCCGACCUGAGAGGGUGAUCGGCCACACUGGGACUGAGACACGGCCCAGACUCCUACGGGAGGCAGCAGUAGGGAAUCUUCCGCAAUGGACGAAAGUCUGACGGAGCAACGCCGCGUGAGUGAUGAAGGCUUUCGGGUCGUAAAACUCUGUUGUUAGGGAAGAACAAGUGCUAGUUGAAUAAGCUGGCACCUUGACGGUACCUAACCAGAAAGCCACGGCUAACUACGUGCCAGCCGCCGCCGUAA
rnacentral:rRNA from 1 species